rnacentral:rRNA from 1 species
AAUCGGAAUUACUGGGCGUAAAGCGUGCGCAGGCGGUUUUGUAAGACAGUGGUGAAAUCCCCGGGCUCAACCUGGGAACUGCCAUUGUGACUGCAAGGCUAGAGUGCGGCAGAGGGGGAUGGAAUUCCGCGUGUAGCAGUGAAACGCGUAGAUAUGCGGAGGAACACCGAUGGCGAAGGCAAUCCCCUGGGCCUGCACUGACGCUCAUGCACGAAAGCGUGGGGAGCAAACAGGAUUAGAUACCCUGGUAGUCAAGGGCG